rnacentral:rRNA from 1 species
CAGCCUGCCCAGUGACAUAGUUAAACGGCCGCGGUACCCUGACCGUGCGAAGGUAGCACAAUCACUUGUUCUUUAAAUGGGGACUAGUAUCAACGGCACCACGAGGGCUUUCCUGUCUCCUUUUUCCAAUCAGUGAAACUGAUCUCCCUGUGAAGAAGCAGGGAUAUACCUAUAAGACGAGAAGACCCCAUGGAGCUUUAAAUCCAACAAACAGCCCGACACACAUAACUCAUCUUAGUCAUCAAAGCCAUGUUUGUUGGUUUUAGGUUGGGGUGACCGCGGAGUAAAACUAAACCUCCACGACGCACGGGAUUAGUCCCUUAUCUAAGAGCUACCUCUCUAAGAAUUAAUAUAUUAACGUAAAAUGACCCAAAUACAUUUUGAUCAACGAACCAAGUUACCCUGGGGAUAACAGCGCAAUCCAUUUCAAGAGCCCCUAUCGACAAAUGGGUUUACGACCUCGAUGUUGGAUCAGGGUGUCCCAGUGGUGCAGCCGCUACUAAUGGUUUGUUUGUUCAACAAUUAAAACCCUACGUGAUCU